CUGCAUCUCUCUGACUGAUGACUGCUGGUCCAUUUUAAGCACAGCUCUGGGGUAAGAAGGUUUCACAAGGACUACUUAACCUCAGUAUGCAGGGACACAUACGUGGUUUGCACUGAACACAGCCCCAGGUGACACUUUUAGUUUAGUUUUAGGUUUUAUAAU